rnacentral:rRNA from 1 species
UACGAAGGGGGCUAGCGUUGCUCGGAAUUACUGGGCGUAAAGGGCGCGUAGGCGGCACUGUUAGUCAGGCGUGAAAUUCCUGGGCUCAACCUGGGGACUGCGCUUGAUACGGCAGAGCUAGAGGAUGGAAGAGGCUCGCGGAAUUCCCAGUGUAGAGGUGAAAUUCGUAGAUAUUGGGAAGAACACCGGUGGCGAAGGCGGCGAGCUGGGUAGAUACUGACGCUGAGGCGCGAAAGCGUGGGGAGCAAACAGG